UACGUAGGUGGCAAGCGUUGUCCGGAUUUAUUGGGUUUAAAGGGUGCGUAGGCGGUCUGUUAAGUCAGUGGUGAAAUACGGCAGCUCAACUGUCGAGGUGCCAUUGAUACUGGCGGACUUGAGUACUGAUGAGGUAGGCGGAAUGGACGGUGUAGCGGUGAAAUGCAUAGAUAUCGUCCAGAACACCGAUAGCGAAGGCAGCUUACUAAGGAGUAACUGACGCUGAGGCACGAAAGUGUGGGGAUCAAACAGG
rnacentral:rRNA from 1 species